CCUACGGGGGGCAGCAGUGAGGAAUAUUGGUCAAUGGGCGGAAGCCUGAACCAGCCAAGUCGCGUGAGGGAUUAAGGCCCUGCGGGUCGUAAACCUCUUUUGCCGGGGAGCAGAGGUCCGGACGUGUCCGGGCCGGGAGAGUACCCGGAGAAAAAGCAUCGGCUAACACCGUGCCAGCAGCCGCGGUAAUACGGGGGAUGCGAGCGUUAUACGGUUUUAUUGGGGUUAAAGGGUGCGUAGGCGGGCAUUUAAGCCGGCGGUCAAAUGUCGGGGCUCAACCCCGGCCUGCCGUCGGAACUGGGUGCCUUGAGUGGGCGAGAGGUAUGCGGAAUGCGUGGUGUAGCGGUGAAAUGCAUAGAUAUCACGCAGAACCCCGAUUGCGAAGGCAGCAUACCGGCGCCCUACUGACGCUGAGGCACGAAAGUGCGGGUAUCGAACAGGAUUAGAUACCCUAGUAGUC
rnacentral:rRNA from 1 species